UGAUAGGCAAAUCCGUUGGAAUAAUGCUGGGGUACGAUGCGGAGCGAAAUUUAGUAGCGAAGUAGCUGAUUUCACACUGUCGAGAAAAGUCUCUAUCGAGGUUAAAGGUGCCUGUACCGCAAACCGACACAGGUGGGUGAGGAGAGUAUCCUAAGGCCAGCGAGAGAACUGUUGUUAAGGAACUCGGCAAAAUGACCCCGUAACUUAGGGAGAAGGGGUGCCUUCGAAAGAAGGCCGCAGAGAAUAGGCCCAAGCGACUGUUUACCAAAAACAUAGGUUUCUGCUAAGUCGCAAGACGAUGUAUAGGAGCUGACGCCUGCCCGGUGCUGGAAGGUUAAGGGGACCUGUUAGAGCAAUCGAAGCAGUGAACUUAAGCCCCAGUAAACGGCGGCCGUAACAAUAACGGUCCUAAGGUAGCGAAAUUCCUUGUCGGGUAAGUUCCGACCCGCACGAAAGGCGUAACGAUUUGGGCACUGUCUCAACAACAGACUCGGUGAAAUUGUAAUACCGGUGAAGAUGCCGGUUACCUGCGACAGGACGGAAAGACCCCAUGGAGCUCUACUGUAGCUUGACAUUGAGUCUCGGUGCUACAUGUACAGGAUAGGUGGGAGACUAUGAAGCAUGGACGUCAGUCUGUGUGGAGUCAUCCUUGGGAUACCACCCUUGUAGUACUGGGAUUCUAACCAGAGGCCAUGAAUCUGGUCUUGGGACACUGUCAGGUGGACAGUUUGACUGGGGCGGUCGCCUCCCAAAAAGUAACGGAGGCGCUCAAAGGUUCUCUCAGUACGGUCGGAAAUCGUACGAAGAGUGUAAAGGCAAAAGAGAGCUUGAUUGCAAGACAUACAGGUCGAGCAAGGACGAAAGUCGGACUUAGCGAUCCGGUGGUUCCGCAUGGAAGGGCCAUCGCUCAACGGAUAAAAGCUACCCUGGGGAUAACAGGCUGAUCUCCCCCAAGAGUCCACAUCGACGGGGAGGUUUGGCACCUCGAUGUCGGCUCAUCACAUCCUGGGGCUGUAGUAGGUCCCAAGGGUUGGGCUGUUCGCCCAUUAAAGUGGUACGCGAGCUGGGUUCAGAACGUCGUGAGACAGUUCGGUCCCUAUCCGUCGCAGGCGUAGGAAAUUUGAGGAGACCUGUCCUUAGUACGAGAGGACCGGGAUGGACGUACCGCUGGUGUACCAGUUGUUCUGCCAAGGGCAUGGCUGGGUAGCUAAGUACGGAAAGGAUAAGCGCUGAAAGCAUCUAAGCGCGAAGCCCACUUCAAGAUAAGAUUUCCCACCGCAAGGUUAAGAUCCCAGGAAGACUACCUGGUUGAUAGGUCAGAGGUGUAAGUGCAGUAAUGUAUUUAGCUUACUGAUACUAAUAGAUCGAGGACUUGACCA
rnacentral:rRNA from 1 species